rnacentral:rRNA from 1 species
UCCACGCAGUAAACGAUGAUAGCUCGUUAUCGGCGAUACACAGUCGGUGACUUAGAGAAAUCGAUAAGCUAUCCACCUGGGGAGUACGUUCGCAAGAAUGAAACUCAAAGGAAUUGACGGGGGCCCGCACAAGCGGAGGAACAUGUGGUUUAAUUCGAUGAUACGCGAGGAACCUUACCCGGGCUUGAAAGUUAGUGACGGAUCUGGAAACAGGUCUUCCCUUCGGGGCACGAAACUAGGUGCUGCAUGGUUGUCGUCAGCUCGUGCCGUGAGGUGUCGGGUUAAGUCCCAUAACGAGCGCAACCCCUGCUGAUAGUUGCCAUCAGGUCACGCUGGGCACUCUAUCGGGACUGCCUCUGUAAGGAGGAGGAGGGUGGGGAUGACGUCAAAUCAGCACGGCCCUUACGUCCGGGGCGACACACGUGUUACAAUGGUAGGUACAGAGGGCAGCCACCCAGCGAUGGGGCGCAAAUCUCGAAAGCCUAUCUCAGUUCGGAUUGGAGGCUGAAACUCGCCUCCAUGAAGUUGGAUUCGCUAGUAAUCGCGCAUCA